UACGUAGGGUGCAAGCGUUGUCCGGAAUUAUUGGGCGUAAAGAGCUCGUAGGCGGUCAGUCGCGUCUGCUGUGAAAACUCGGGGCUUAACCCCGGGCCUGCAGUGGGUACGGGCUGACUAGAGUGCGGUAGGGGAGACUGGAAUUCCUGGUGUAGCGGUGAAAUGCGCAGAUAUCAGGAGGAACACCGAUGGCGAAGGCAGCUCACUGGGACGGUACUGACGCUGAGGCGCGAAAGCGUGGGGAGCAAACAGG
rnacentral:rRNA from 1 species